rnacentral:lncRNA from 1 species
GUACGUAGCUAUUAUUACUAAAUCCCAUCGACUAUUUGAACUAAUGUGUUCGAUUUGCACAGAGAGGAGCCCGGCCACCACCUGCCCAGGGUGGCCGGGCCUUAGGCUCCGCCAGUGCCCUCAACCGUUGUAAAAGAUUUCAAUGAAAAAUACUGCCUUAUAUAAUCUUUAAUAUUGGCAUGUGCGGGUUAUAAUUUUAUGAAGACAUGGGGAGAGAGGUGGCUAAUUUUUAAAAAAAGAUUGUAGAAGUUAUUUAAAUUAAUUUUCAUAAUAAUGGUUUACCGAUGUGGUUAAUUUAGAUACAAAUUUAGUAGUUAUUUGAAUAUUUGAAUUACCUUUCAUGGUGGUGGAGGUGGGUGAUUUCGUUACAGAAGAUUUAGAUGUUUAUUUUGAAUUUAUCUUACAUAAUUGUAAAAGCUAGGUAAUUUAGAUAUAAAUUUGAGAUGCUAUUUUUCAAUAUGUUUCAUAAUACAUAGGAGUGAUGGGUAAUUUGGUUGAAAAUUUAUGGGAUUCCUUCAUUAGAUAAUUUUUAUUGAUGAUGAUGAUUAAAGGUUACAUGUUUCUAAUUAUUGUGAGAAUUUCUAAAAUUUAUUCAUUUUUUCUAGCACAUCCGAUGAGAAUUAAUGUAUAUAUACUCGGUAUGCGUCUUUCCUCUUUCUCUUUUUUCUAUAUAUAAGUUUUCAUUUUUUUAAUUUUUUCUUUAUUUUUUUUCUUUCUUUUUCUUUCUUUUUUUGCUUUAUUUUUUUUUCUUUCUCUGUCUUAGCGGCUGGCGCGCUCGCGGGGGCUCUCGGCCGCCAGUGGGGGCGCGCGCGGCCGCGCGGCCGACGGCGUAAGGCCCGCGCGCCACUGCCCCCUGCAGGCGGGC